rnacentral:rRNA from 1 species
UACGGGGGGAGCAAGCGUUGUUCGGAUUUAUUGGGCGUAAAGAGCGUGUAGGCGGCUAGGUAGGUCCGUUGUGAAAACUCGAGGCUCAACCUCGAGCUGUCGAUGGAAACCAUCUGGCUAGAGUCCGGAAGAGGAGAGUGGAAUUCCUGGUGUAGCGGUGAAAUGCGCAGAUAUCAGGAAGAACACCCGUGGCGAAGGCGGCUCUCUGGUACAUGACUGACGCUGAGACGCGAAAGCGUGGGGAGCGAACAGG